rnacentral:rRNA from 1 species
AGUGAACGCUGGCGGUAGGCCUAACACAUGCAAGUCGAACGGCAGCACAGUAAGAGCUUGCUCUUACGGGUGGCGAGUGGCGGACGGGUGAGGAAUACAUCGGAAUCUACUUUUUCGUGGGGGAUAACGUAGGGAAACUUACGCUAAUACCGCAUACGACCUACGGGUGAAAGCAGGGGAUCUUCGGACCUUGCGCGAUUGAAUGAGCCGAUGUCGGAUUAGCUAGUUGGCGGGGUUAGGGCCCACCAAGGCGACGAUCCGUAGCUGGUCUGAGAGGAUGAUCAGCCACACUGGAACUGAGACACGGUCCAGACUCCUACGGGAGGCAGCAGUGGGGAAUAUUGGACAAUGGGCGCAAGCCUGAUCCAGCCAUACCGCGUGGGUGAAGAAGGCCUUCGGGUUGUAAAGCCCUUUUGUUGGGAAAGAAAAGCAGCAGGUUAAUACCCCGCUGUUCUGACGGUACCCAAAGAAUAAGCACCGGCUAACUUCGUG